rnacentral:rRNA from 1 species
AACGAACGCUGGCGGCGGGGUUUAGGCAUGCAAGUCGAGCGAGAAAAGCGCAAGCUGAGUACAGCGGCGUAAGGGUGAGUAAUAGGUAGUCAACGUACCGGGCAGACGCGAAUAAUUUCCCGAAAGGGAUUGUAUGCGCGAUGAGAUCGACGGGCACCACGGUGCAUGGGAUCAAAGGUCGGGGAUCCUUCGGGACCUGGCGCUGUCUGAGCGGACUACCUCUGAUUAGCUAGUUGGCGGGGUAAC